CAGUCGCCGCGGUAAUACGUAGGUGGCAAGCGUUGUCCGGAAUUAUUGGGCGUAAAGGGCUCGCAGGCGGUUUCUUAAGUCUGAUGUGAAAGCCCCGGCUCAACCGGGGAGGGUCAUUGGAAACUGGGAAACUUGAGUGCAGAAGAGGAGAGUGGAAUUCCACGUGUAGCGGUGAAAUGCGUAGAGACGUGGAGGAACACCAGUGGCGAAGGCGACUCUCUGGUCUGUAACUGACGCUGAGGAGCGAAAGCGUGGGGAGCGAACAGGAUUAGAUACCCCAGUAGUCCCUGUCUCUUAUACA
rnacentral:rRNA from 1 species